rnacentral:rRNA from 1 species
AGCGAACGCUGGCGGCAGGCCUAACACAUGCAAGUCGAGCGCCCGUAGCAAUACGGGAGCGGCAGACGGGUGAGUAACACGUGGGAACGUACCCUUCGGUUCGCAAUAACCCAGGGAAACUUGGAUUAAUACCGGAUACGUCCGUAAGGAGAAAGAUUUAUCGCCGAAGGAUCGGCCCGCGUCCGAUUAGCUUGUUGGUGGGGUAAUGGCCCACCAAGGCUACGAUCGGUAGCUGGUCUGAGAGGAUGAUCAGCCACACUGGGACUGAGACACGGCCCAGACUCCUACGGGAGGCAGCAGUGGGGAAUAUUGGACAAUGGGCGCAAGCCUGAUCCAGCCAUGCCGCGUGGGUGAUGAAGGCCCUAGGGUUGUAAAGCCCUUUCGGCGGGGAAGAUAAUGACGGUACCCGCAGAAGAAGCCCCGGCUAACUUCGUGCCAGCCGCCGCAGUAACAC